CUUUAUUGUUCCCAAAGGGCAAUUGGAAGAAGACUUUUAAAAAGCUAAAUUAAAAUGACUAAUAAGGAUUAAAAGAAGAAACCCAGAGGUUGCAGAGCCUGUUGAAGCCUGACGCUAUUUCCUAGAGUUAUAUUUUAAGGUUUCACCAAGCCUGCUGGGUUUGCCUAUUUCCAGGGCAGAGGCAUGUGUGAGACGUGACGCAGCUUUCUAAGGAUGUGAAGGAAGAGAGCAGGCACCUGCGGCCCCGUGAUUAUUAAAUCACUACCUGUUGGGACCUCCUGCGUCCUUCUGCCUGAGGUACAACCACCUUCAGACCACAACAGGCUGUGGCCCAGCUCCAGGAAGGCUGCCUUGCAGCUCAGCCCAGGAGGAAGAAUGAUGUCCAUUUAGAGUUCCAGGAAAGGUAUAAGUAAGCCUGAAGAAAAUGAUUUUAGUUGGAAUUUGGCCACAUUCAAGGGCUAAUUAAUGAGGAUUAUGAACAAAGUGAGGAAUGUGCUCUUGGCUGCCACUGAGUUAUCAAUGCAGUAAAGCAUGGCCUGCGAGUUUCCUAACCUCUGCAGAAGGACGCCCUUGUGCUCCAUCCAACAUAUUGAACUUGUUAAGUGCUGAAGAAAGCUGGACUCUUGGAAAAGGAUGUGGAGUCUUUUAUUCACUCACUGGAUGGUUGGUGCUUAAAUCUAUGGGAGCCUGGACCUGUGAUGCUUAAUCUUAAAUCUCGGAGGGUGGUGUGGUUGGUGUGCUCUGUUAGGAUGCCAUUCUGAGGCUUCAAAAAGCAACAGAGGAGAUCACCCAUUCCCUCUCCUGAUUGGGAGAGUUACCAAUCUCACA